GGAGGUAUAGGCUCAGUGGCAGAGCUCCCGAUUGCAGCUCGGGCGGUCCUGCGUUCGAAUCGCAGUGCCUCCU